UGGGGAAUAAGCGGGGGAGUGGAAAGCCCUCGCGGUGACUGUAGGCCAUGAAUAAGCACCGGCUAAUUACGUGCCAGCAGCCGCGGUAACACGUAAGGUGCGAGCGUUGUUCGGAAUCAUUGGGCGUAAAGGGCAUGUAGGCGGUCUGUCAAGCCAGGCGUGAAAGCCAGGGGCUCAACCCCUGAACUGCGCUUGGAACUGGCGGACUGGAGUCGCUGAGGGGGAACCGGAAUUCCUGGUGUAGGGGUGAAAUCUGUAGAUAUCAGGAAGAACACCGAUGGCGAAGGCAGGUUUCCAGCAGACGACUGACGCUGAGGUGCGAAGGUGC
rnacentral:rRNA from 1 species